rnacentral:rRNA from 1 species
AUUGAACGCUGGCGGCAGGCCUAACCCAUGCAAGUCACACGAGUGGCGGACGGGUGAGUCAUGUCUGGGAAACUGCCUGAUGGAGGGGGAUAACUACUGGAAACGGUCGCUAAUACCGCAUACCAUCAGAUGUGCCCAGCUGGGAUUAGCUUGUUGGUGGGGUAACGGCUCACCAAGGCGACUAUCCCUAGCUGGUCUGAGAGGAUGACCAGACAAACUGGAACUGAGACACGGUCCAGACUCCUACGGGAGGCAGCAGUGGGGAAUAUUGCACAAUGGGCGCAAGCCUGAUGCAGCCAUGCCGAGUGUAUGAAGAAGGCCUUCGGGUUGUAAAGUACUUUCAGCGGGGAGGCGUUACCCGCAGAAGAAGCACCGGCUAACGCCGUGCCAGCCGCCGCGGUAAUAC